GUUUCAUUAGGAAACUUGGCUAAAAUGGACGGAUGCACUUGGAAAGUGAAGCAGGAGCCCUUUCCAAAGGGGCUGGCUUGGCUUCGCGCAGUCUGCUUCAGAGCAAAGAUAAAGGGCACUAUAAAACCUGCAAAAGCCCAUGAACUAGUGUGCUGAGUCUCACUCCGGGCUCCAUGUCGGAGAGCUGCUGUGGCUCCAGCACAGUGAGGAAACUGUGGCUGAGAGCUUUGAGCAGCCGCAGGAUGGGGCAUCCUCACCCCAGAGGGGGAGCUGGGAGCCCAGUGCACCUCCAUGGACAUGGUGCCUCCAGGCUCAGCCACCUCUGCACGGCUCCUUCAGGACCCAGGGGUGACAGCAGAUGAACAUGGAGUCCUGCAGAGCUCCAGGUCCCACAGCCCCAGCAUCUUGGCUUGCACAGCUUCAGGGCCAUUGACUCCUCUGAGGUGCCAAAGGACCACCACUGACUCCCAAACUGUGUCCCCUGGGAGGGAGAAUUGGGCUGUGAGAAGAACAGGCAAAACCCUGGUGUCCUGAGAUGAUGAGCCAGAGAAAACAGCGAAGAUCUGGCAGGAAGGUCCUUGCUCAUCCCUUCACUGGAGACUCCUGAGGAUCUGGGGAUUUUGGACACCUCCUCUGCAGUGUAACAGGUAAGAAAGCCACCCAGCAGUUUUGGGUCUGCACAAGGUGGAGGCUUGUCUCCAUUCCAUUGCUUCCCAACCAGGUGCUGGGACAGAGGCAUUAUCUCAAGAUCAGGGCUGGUAUUGUUAUGCAAAAAGCCCUGGAGAUACUGGGGAGGAAGUUUCUCCGGGUUGCAGUGGGAGGGGGAUGAAUAGGGCUGGGGAAAGAAUGGAUGGGAAGUAGUGGCCUUUCCUAGCCACCGAAAGUUGUUGUUUUUGUCACCCUCAGCAUGGCAGGUGACCUCCAAACUCAAGGACACCAGCCUUGUCCCAAAGAGGACAUGUCUGCAGAUGAGGACAAGUGGGAUGGUGAGGGCUGAGACCUGGCACUAGGCAACAUUAAUGGAGAUGUUAAUGACUUUCAAGGGAAUCUCCCCUGUUUUCUUCCUGCUCUUGCUCAUCUGUUCAAGGCUUAGUGACCCUAUGCCCUUGUGAGAUUUUUGGAAGGGGCAGCAAUCUCCUGCCUGAAGGGGCAAGCUGUCUAUGCAAGCUGUGGGGUUCAGGAUAAUGGUCCUUGUGGAGACCCUUGAUGGGCCACAGGAGAUGCCUGCAAACAGAAUGUAACCCCUGGAAGACACUACCAGAGGGGGUAGACCCGCUGGGGCCUGGAAGGGGGUCAACCCA
rnacentral:lncRNA from 1 species